rnacentral:misc_RNA from 1 species
GGAGUAAAAGUCGUAACAAGGUUUCCGUAGGUGAACCUGCGGAAGGAUCAUUACCUAGAGUUUGUAGACUUCGGUCUGCUACCUCUUACCCAUGUCUUUUGAGUACCUUCGUUUCCUCGGCGGGUCCGCCCGCCGAUUGGACAACAUUCAAACCCUUUGCAGUUGCAAUCAGCGUCUGAAAAAACAUAAUAGUUACAACUUUCAACAACGGAUCUCUUGGUUCUG